rnacentral:rRNA from 1 species
GUGGGGAAUAUUGGACAAUGGGCGAAAGCCUGAUCCAGCCAUGCCGCGUGAGUGAUGAAGGCCUUAGGGUUGUAAAGCUCUUUCAGUAGGGAAGAUAAUGACGGUACCUACAGAAGAAGCCCCGGCUAACUUCGUGCCAGCAGCCGCGGUAAUACGAAGGGGGCUAGCGUUGUUCGGAUUUACUGGGCGUAAAGCGCACGUAGGCGGAUUGGUCAGUUAGAGGUGAAAUCCUGGAGCUCAACUCCAGAACUGCCUUUAAUACUGCCAGUCUAGAGUCCAGAAGAGGUGAGUGGAACUCCUAGUGUAGAGGUGGAAUUCGUAGAUAUUAGGAAGACCACCCGUGGCGAAGGCGGCUCACUGGUCUGGUACUGACGCUGAGGUGCGAAAGCGUGGGGAGCAAACAGGAUUAGAUACCCGAGUAGUCC